rnacentral:rRNA from 1 species
GAUGAACGCUGGCGGCGUGCCUAAUACAUGCAAGUCGAGCGAACAGACGAGGAGCUUGCUCCUCUGACGUUAGCGGCGGACGGGUGCGUAACACGUGGAUAACCUACCUCUAAGACUGGGAUAACUUCGGGAAACCGGAGCUAAUACCGGAAAAUAUAUUGAACCGCAUGGUUCAAUAGUUAAAGAAGGUUUUGCUGUCACUUAUAGAUGGAUCCGCGCCGCAUUAGCUAGUUGGUGAGGUAACGGCUUACCAAGGCAACGAUGCGUAGCCGACCUGAGAGGGUGAUCGGCCAGACGGGAAGUGAGACACGGUCCAGACUCCUACGGGGAGCAGCAGUAGAGAAUCUUCCGCGAAGGGCGAAAGCCUGACGGAGCAACGCCGCGUGAGUGAUGAAGGUCUUCGGAUCGUAAAACUCUGUUAUUAGGGAAGAACAAAUGUGUAAGUAACUAUGCACGUCUUGACGGUACCUGAACAGAAAGCCACGGCUAACUACGUG